rnacentral:ncRNA from 2 species
GGAAAAACGAUGAAGGAUCGAGUAUGCCGUUCGUAAUCCAACCGCUGAAGGCGGACAGAGAGGGCUUCCAUGGCUGGAAGAAGCCCGGGGUGAAAAAUAGCAGAACGCUAAUCCGGAGUGCAGCCAAUACCUGCCGUUAUGCCGCGUUAAGGCAAUAUUGAGAGAUGGGCGCCGGCUUUACGCCCAUAAUCAGGGUGGUACCGCGAGAAUAAGCUCUCGUCCCUGUC